GCACUUAUGUCGUGGCCUACCUAUGAGUGGGACGUCUUAAAGUAGCCUACCCACUGAUACUCUGCUUUUAAGAUCAGGCCAAAGAGAACGCAAUCUAAACAACAAAGAGGGGGGUCAGAAUCCCUUUUUUUUGUCUGGGAAGCAGUUACGUGGACAUUGAGCCAGGCCGCUGCACGCCCCGUCCUGCAGAUCACAGCCGAGCAGACUUGGCUCCAUCCUAAUCUCGCAAGUCUCAACAGUCUGCUACGCAAGUUUAUCCAGAGGGGGUUGAGCCUCUCGUUUAGCCCCUCAUCACCGACCCGUCCCACCCGCCCCUGUCCGCUGCCCGCCUCCACUCCAGAGGAAAACUCUCUGUCAGUGACCCUCUGCUGACUCUGGAUGCCUAAUCCUUUAAAUGUGGGCAAAGCCUGAAAUGAUGAGGAGUCCGGCUUUUUUAUGCAGGUGAUGUCUUUUUGGCCUCUCUCGGAUUCCCCACAGGAUCAAACAGGAGAUCCUCUGGGUGUAAUGGGGCAGGCAGGAAAGCCUCACAGCCUGCAGUCUGCUGCAGGAGCAAGGAAGAAUUUACAGGUCAAAUCUAGGCUGCAUCCCUCCUGUUUGUCUUCACCUGCUUUCAUUAGAGAGCAAACGUUGCACUUGAAACAACACAAGUCAACUUUGAGAAUCACAAAAAGUACAUGAUAAUUAAAUAUUUUAAUACAAGUUAUCUGUUUAUAGCAGAUGGCUGCACAUCAGUGAGUCUGGGUUUGCUGGAGAUUUCUGCCUUAGGAAGUUUUCCGACAUUUCUGCUGUUGCCAAGUCCUUGUUCAGUGUAAUCCAAGCUCUCUGUAAAUGAUACUAUGCAUCACAAUACCUAUAAUUUAAUCAGGACCUGCUCUGUCUAAAUCUUCAUCAGAGUACAUUUGUAUUAAUUUUGCAUGAGACAAAUCUGCUGUGAUUAAUUGAUUGUUUUUGACAUAAAGAGUUUUAAUAUUUGGUAAAUAAUACUUAAAAAGUUAUAAUUUUUAAAAAAGUAGCAGUGAUAUUAUUGCACGCUUGUAUAUAAUUGUAGCCUCUGUGUAGUGCAUUGAAAGUUGCUGUUCAUAGGCUGGAAAAACAAUAAAUAGUAUGGCUUUUUAGAGAGCAAAUGCA